UUGACGGGGGCCCGCACAAGCGGUGGAGCAUGUGGUUUAAUUCGACGCAACGCGAAGAACCUUACCUGGGCUCGAACGGCUGAUCAACGACGGUAGAAAUAUCGUUACUCCGCAAGGGGGUUCAGUCGAGGUGCUGCAUGGCUGUCGUCAGCUCGUGUCGUGAGAUGUUGGGUUAAGUCCCGCAACGAGCGCAACCCUUGCCCUGUGUUGCCAUCAUUCAGUUGGGAACUCUCAGGGGACCGCCAGCGAUAAGUUGGAGGAAGGUGGGGACGACGUCAAGUCAUCAUGGCCUUUAUGUCCAGGGCUGCACACGUGCUACAAUGGCCGGUACAAUACGACGCUAACCCGCGAGGGGGAGCAAAUCGGAAAAAACCGGUCUCAGUUCGGAUCGCAGGCUGCAACUCGCCUGCGUGAAGCUGGAAUCGCUAGUAAUGCCGGAUCAGCAUGCCGGCGUGAAUACGUUCCCGGGCCUUGUACACAUAUACCGAUAUGACUGUACCUCUGGAGUCGAGCUGCAGGCUAAGCUACGUAGACCAGCAGCCGCGGUAAUACGUAGGCAGCAAGCGUCGUUCGGAAUUACUGGGCGUAAAGAGUGCGUAGGCGGUUAACUAAGUUUGGUGUGAAAUCUCCCGGCUUAACUGGGAGGGUGCGCCGAAAACUGGCCAGCUAGAGUGUGGGAGAGGAUAGUGGAAUUCCUGGUGUAGCGGUGAAAUGCGUAGAUAUCAGGAGGAACACCUGCGGUGUAGACGGCUAUCUGGACCAUGACUGACGCUGAGGCACGAAAGCGUGGGUAGCAAACAGGAUUAAAUACACUGGUAGUCCACGCCCUUAACUAUGCAAACUUGGUGUGCGCCCUUUCAUUGGGUGAGUGCCUUCGCUAUCGCGUUUUCGUUUGCCACCUGGGGA
rnacentral:rRNA from 1 species